GCGUCGUAUGGGGUAAGCUGUGUGAUCGAAGUGUGUGAUUAAGCUGCACUUGUAUUCACACCAUGACUGUUGGCUUUUGUUGUUUGUUUGGAGGAGUGGCUGCAGUCUUGCGUACCGUCAGGUAAGUGUACAAUAUCAGUUCGUGGCCGGUGUGUUGCUUCUGUUAAUUUCAUUCUCGUUGUUGCAGUACAUGAAAGAACGAAGGAGGAUAUGAAUUUGCGUCGUAAUGGCGCCUGGCCAUGAAAGAAAAAGGAUAUGAUUUUGCGUCGUAAUGGGUUUUUGUUGUUUGUUCGGAGCAGCGGCUGCAGUGUUGCGUCCCGUCAGGCUCUACUUUGUUGAACACUAAGCUGGACACAUAUCUCUCCAGCGCUUCAGAGACGUCGCUGGCGCCGAAAUUCCAGCUGUUUCACCGUGGGUCGCCAGAAGAACAGCAGAUCAUUGACUGUCAAUUGUGCGACGCGACACUAUGUGGCACGAAGGAUGUGUACGUAUGAAAUACGUAACUACUGUGUGCGCGGGAUGUUUUGUAUGAUUGUGUCGACACUGGAUACCACUUUCAAGGUAUGCAUUUUCGGAAUAAAGUAGAUACA